UGGUGCCUUUAUUGUAUUUGUUUCUGCUAACCCAUCACCAAGAAAUACUUGUAAAGUGUAAUCAUUUAAUCGCAUAUGGUGUACUGUCUGUUAUUUGGCGGUGUGGGGUACAUCACACAGCAUCCACACAAACUUGAUUACCCAGUUUGGCGGGGCUGAAGGCUGCUCCCCCUAGAUGAAAGCGAGCUGAGCGAGCCUGAGGUUUGCCAGGAGGUUACAUUGUGAGGCUCGACCGGGAUUUGAUUCUGUUCGAUGCUGUGUGAUCGCCCUGCUUAAAUUAUGCAUGCUGGAGGUGGGGGGGCGGAAAGUUGGUGUACCUCUGUGAAAUUGCUGGUUAUUACUGCAUGCAUGUUGGGUGGGGUGGCUGUUGGUACCCUGGAGGUCUCUGUUCGAGUUCAGACUAGCGCUGACGAAAUGGUGAUGGGACUGCCAGUGUCUUGUUGGUGCCCCAGGUGAGGCGGGACCAUGGGCUGUCCAUACUGUUAGGAGAGAGAGGAAAGAAUGGUCUGAUUCGGAGGUAGUGUCUGCGAAUAAAUGUUCCAGCUAUGGCAGGCUCCGCCCGGUUUUUGGAAUAAUGUCCACCCCUAAAGGGGCGGAGGCGUGGGUGGAACUGACCUCUCAGUUGUUAGGUGAGUGACAGUGCUCAGCUGAGGGAAAGCAACAGCGAUUGGUUGGAAGUUUGAAUAGGCAGGCUGCUGAUGUUGUUAGAACUGUCAGGUUCAAUGACCCUAUAGUGACAGCUGCCAGUUAUCGGCAAGCGCGGGAAAAGGCCUUCGGUUCUACUGGGGGCAAACUGCAGCUCGGGGUGGAGUUUCCAAAUGUGAGUCGGGAGAAUGGGGAAAAGCUUUCAGAGUAUUUCUUUUGGCUAGAGAAACAGCUGAACUGGUUGCAGUGCAGGGGGGUUAUUCAGCUGAUCAGAGAGGUGUCAGGAAACUCAGAGGAGAUUCAGCGGAGGAACUACCUGGUGUCGCUUUGGGGAACACGUUUCCAGCAAUGUACCAAGGAACUCCUGAGAGGAAAAGACCCUAAUCCUGAAAGCUUAGUGGGACCGCAGUCCAGUGGGUUGUUAAGGAGGGAUGAAAGCUAUUCUAAAGUCAUACUCGACACCGAGUCGCCAGUCGAGUUGCUGUACAACCAGUUUCUGAAGCACUUACCCUUGAUAACCUUCAGGGCACUGGAGAUUUGAGGUACCAGUGCUGGUGAUUAUCCAGACAACCGUUAUUGGUCAGUGAAACUGGAGUUCUCGGAGGCCAAUGUGUGGGUGUCUGCGAGUCGUGAAUCAUUAGUGCUGAUGUGUCCGGACACUGUCAACACGGACAGCAUUUCGAUUCUGGAGGGGACCAACAUCCGGCUGACAAGGAGGCAUAUGGGGGCCUGCAAGGAGGAGCUGUUGUUUGCGCGGGAUUUGGACAGAUCGCGCCAUGGGGGUGAAGAGAGAAGACGCACAUGGAGAGAUGCUGUGAGCUGGCUAGCGGAGCAGACCCCGAGCGGCGGCUUGGGACCCGGCGGAGUCCGGAGGGCAUCAACUGGAGGAAAGGAUACCUGAUUCAUGAGCUCCAGCGAAUUACUUGUGCACAGAACUGGUAGUUACUGACUCGGCGCCUUUAUUGUAUUUGUUUCUACUAACCCAUCACCAAAAAAUACUUAGAAGUGUAAUCAUUUAAUCGCAUAUGGUGUACUGUCUGUUAUUUGGCAGUGUGGGGUACAUCACACAGCAUCCACAUAAAUUGAUUACCCAGAUUGGCGGGGCUGAAGGCUGCUCCCCCUAGAUGAAAGUGAGCUGAGCGAGCCAGAGGCUUGCCAGGAGGUUACAUACAAGAUAUGCUGCCUUUUGUUCAUUCUUGCAAACUUUAUUUCACAAUAAGUAAAGUACUUACGGUACUAGAGCCUAGGUUCCAGGUUAAGAUCCAGAGGAGACAGAAGGCAAGACAAAUUUUACAACAAAAAUAGUCAUAAUUCUUCUGGGUUUUAGACUCAUAACAUAUGGAGCAUAAACUACUAUGAAAUAGUUGUGAUGAAUGGUUUCCAAUUCAAAGUAAUAGAAUCUACAGGUAGAAGGGCUGACAACAUCAGUAAUAUAAGUAUGUGUUUAGGCCCUCAUGCUGCAGUCUUUAUCAUUUUUAUAUCAGAACCAAACAUAGAAAUAAUGGGAUUUCUGAGGUACUAUUUUGAAGAGAUAAAUAAUGAAUGAAGUCUUGUCUUCAUUUAUUUAAAAGGCCAGUCCACAUCCUAAGCAAAGAUGCUAUCAUGCAUGGAGAAGUGAGGUGUUUCAUGUUCCAAGUAAACAAUAUCACUUCCCGGGGUGACGUUUUGGCAAUCUCUAGCCUGACUUGAACUCCCUUUACAUAUUGUUGCAUGGCAAAAGUCUGACCUUGAAUUGAAUUUGGAUAGAAGUUGGAGGCGGAGUUAAGAUGGCGCUAAACAGCAACUCCUUUGCUUGCAUCUUUGGAAACAGCUCUAUUUCCAUCUUUAUUAUUUUCAUUUUUCCUCUUCAAGGUUCCUUUGAAAACCCUGACCUUGUUGUUACACGCAGACUUCGGUUCUUUGCAGGAAUGGGACCCAUUCUCAGGGUUUCAGGACCGGCCGUUGUUGUUCAGCCUGAGAGUCGAGCUCAAAUUCAAAAGCCUAAGAUCUCGGGGCUCUGGAGAUGGGCGGUGUCAUGACAAGAGACUUGUGUGUCAUCAGUGAGGCAGGAAAAUCUUUCGCUGUAUGCCCGAAGGCCUGAGAUCUUAGCAAUCUUUGGGCACAAAGCUCAUAAAAAGCAAUGAAACAGACUUUUUAACAUCAUAAACCAGCCGGUUGUUGUUAUGUCUCCCGCUCACUGUGAAAAUGAGGGACACCUCCCUCUCCCUUAUUAUGGAGAGAGAGAACCUGUGGUUUGUCAAAUACCAGAUGAAAUGUGAUAGUCUUUGGGGUAACUGCAAGGUCUGUGUCUUUGCUAUGGCCUAGCUGACGCUUGUGCUCGGUAACG